rnacentral:lncRNA from 1 species
AUAGCAACACCUGCCUGCAUCACCUGCCAGGUGGCAUUCUCUGACUUGGAGCUGCAGUAGGCCAUGUGAGACCGACUAGCAUUGCUAAAGUCUGCAUCUCCAAGUGGCCAACAUGUCACAUGUUACCACUGAAAACUUUGAGGAACCAGCAGACUGUGAUGGAGGAGGGCAAGAACUAGCUACCUACUACACUGUCUGCUGUAAGAAGUUUGUCAUGCCCAGGAAAGAUUAUCUUAAGUCCUGGCAGCAUACAGAGAUGAAGGCGAUUCAGGCUGUGAAUCACCAGGAAAAGAUGAUGAACAAGAACUCGGAGAAGGAAGUAAGUGUGGAUAGUGUGGGCAAGGUGCCAUAAAUGCAGCCAUGAAGGCACAGUCAUCCACAUGUCCCAAUAAAGUGACUUCAGCUUCUACAAAAGAGUUCAGGCAUAGUAUACCUGGGGAUUCACAGCUCAGCCUGGGUGGGGAAGCCAUCUAAGCUCAAGCGAUUUGAUCAGCAGAUGAAGAAGAUGACCAAGUAGCAGGUAUAGGAAAUCAAAGAAAAGGAAGAGGAGGAGGAGAAGAAGGAGGAAGACCUAGACAAGGAAGGUUGAGAGCGUACUGAUGCUGAUGAAGAAUUUGACUAUAAAGAUACUGACAUCAUGGGCCACACUGAGGAUAUGAAAGAUGAAGAGUCUGAGCAAAGCCCUCACGCAGGUGCCAUCCCAAUAGCAGAGUGCUUAUUUUCCUUCCAUUACUGAGUAUCCCACACAAAGAAUGGGACUGACAAGGACUGAGAUCCACAGUUUUUUUGUUACUCAUAUAGAAUAUCUCCCAGACAUGAAAUGACUGAUUAAUGACACGAGCGUUGGUGAGAUUUACUUGUGGUUCAGUGAGAGGAAAAUUGUUUUACCCUUUGGAAGCUGUCCAGGCACACAAGAGUGACAAAAGUCACUGCAAGCUUUCACAUAUGGUGAUGCCACUUUAGGAUUGCCAGGCGCCUGUGAUUUUAGAAGUAGCUACCCAGAUCUUAGGAGGGGAUGAAGCUAAGGAGUUGCCUUCAGAUAAGAACUUGGAAUGUGAUAAUGAAACCAUGGUGCUGAUCCUACCAGUGCCAGAUCAGCUCAUCACUCCUUGAUGAGGUACCACAGAUGGUGAUUUGGCUUAUCAAGAGCUGUGGAAACCAGAAGGCUGUGGGCUGGAGCAGCUCUCAUGUAGGAGUGUGCUGUGUCGAGCUGUGUAGCAUGUCCAAAGGAUGAAAUCAAAGAGGAUGCUGAAGGCAGGAAUGAAGCAAAGC